rnacentral:rRNA from 1 species
GAAAGAAAUCCUUGGCUCUAAUACAGUCGGGGGAUGACGGUACCGGAAGAAUAAGCACCGGCUAACUACGUGCCAGCAGCCGCGGUAAUACGUAGGGUGCAAGCGUUAAUCGGAAUUACUGGGCGUAAAGCGUGCGCAGGCGGUUUGCUAAGACCGAUGUGAAAUCCCCGGGCUCAACCUGGGAACUGCAUUGGUGACUGGCAGGCUAGAGUAUGGCAGAGGGGGGUAGAAUUCCACGUGUAGCAGUGAAAUGCGUAGAGAUGUGGAGGAAUACCGAUGGCGAAGGCAGCCCCCUGGGCCAAUACUGACGCUCAUGCACGAAAGCGUGGGGAGCAAACAGGAUUAGAUACCCUGGUAGUCCACGCCCUAAACGAUGUCAACUAGUUGUUGGGGAUUCAUUUCCUUAGUAACGUAGCUAACGCGUGAAGUUGACCGCCUGGGGAGU